rnacentral:lncRNA from 1 species
CGCUGCUUGGUCCGGCGGCUGGGUGAGGGCUGCUGGUGUCGCGUUUGAGGAGAACUGCGAGUCUGUUUGGCCUAUACCCAUCGGUAUCCCAGCUACGAUGAGUGCUGCCCGGGAGUCUCACCCGCACGGGGUGAAACGUUCAGCCUCUCCCGACGACGAUCUUGGAUCUAGCAAUUGGGAGGCAGCAGACUUGGGCAAUGAAGAAAGAAAACAGAAGUUCUUGAGACUUAUGGGUGCAGGAAAGAAAGAACACACUGGUCGUCUUGUUAUAGGAGAUCACAAAUCAACAUCUCACUUCAGAACAGUACAAUGGACACGCAGGGGAAGAAGACAAGAAAAUUAAUGAAGAGCUGGAGUCUCAGUACCAGCAGAGCAUGGACAGCAAACUGUCAGGACGGUACCGGCGGCACUGCGGGCUCGGCUUCAGUGAGGUAGAAGAUCAUGAUGGAGAAGGUGAUGUGGCUGGGGAUGACGAUGAGGACGACUCUCCUGAUGCUGAGAGUCCAGAUGACUCGGACAGCGAUUCUGAGUCUGAGAAGGAGGAGUCUGCAGAAGAGCUCCACGCUGCUGCGCAUCCUGACGACACAGAAGACCCGAAGAGCAAAAAAGAUGCGAAGAGCAGUUAUAAGAUGAUGUUCGUCAAGUCCAGUGGCUCAUAACCACCAAACACUUAGUCUUUGUAUUAAAAGUAAGCCUUAUUGUUAUAAUGCACAGUGGAGGACUGCUUAUAGAGCACAGACCUUUGUAUUAUAAUUUUUAAAAAGGCCCUUUUAAAUAACUACAAAGAGUGUUUGCUUUCAAAUGCCGUGGGUCACAUUUCUCCCGGCAUGACUAUAACCAUUUUUGUAAAGAGUCAGAGUUGUAUAAAAUGAGAAAUAAAUACUGCACUCAGCUUCCUUUCAUAUUAGCAUCCUCAGCCCUCUCUCCACUGUCUGCCCCUGUAGGUGCAUCAUGGGGGACACUGGCUUUGUCUGUGGUAGCCCUUUCAUCUUCAUCUUUUGGUUUGUUCCUAUUUUUCUCUUAGAUAUUCAUUUGAUACUGUGACAUGUUCCCUUGAUUAUACUUUGUUAAAGCAGACCUGUCCAUCAUGGAUCUGGCUGCCAGCAGCCAUGCUGCAGACCAUUGAUGACAGUCCCUGCUUGUUGAGUCUCUGCUCUCAGACUAGAGCAAGCACAGGACACUGGUGUGUGGAAGUGCCCUGUCACAUCAUUUCAAGGUUGCAAUCCCAAAAUGUCUUUAUAUAAUUUGAUUUCACUGUAUGGUAAAGUUUUGAUAAAAUUUGGCCAGUUUUUACAGAAGAAAUUAUUUCUCUGCUCAUUUAGUCCUGUAUAUUUAGAAAUAUGUAAAACUGGAUUUUUUUUUUUAAGGUACUAUGUGACCAAAGUUCAUUUUUUCCUCCUAAGGUCUAAAUAAAGAGAAAGCAGUUUCCCAUA